rnacentral:tRNA from 1 species
GGAGAGGUGUCGGAGUGGCUUAUCGAGCAGCCUUGGAAAGGCUGUGUCCCGAUUCUCGGGACCGUGGGUUCGAAUCCCACCCUCUCCG